GAGCGGGUAGAUAUGUUCAGCUCUGCUUUGGUUCGACGCUCUGUUUGUCACCUGUACCGGUCUUCACCAGGUCCUGUGUUAGUCCUCAUCUUAUGUCAGGUGAUAUCACCUUCAGUCACCCAGGGUGCACAGUCAACAUUUAGCAGAAUCCAUUCAACCCAGUGGGAGCCUCACUUUCCUGUGUGACGGCAGCCUGAGAUACCCGGGAGAUAACAGGUGGAAGGAUGGCGAAACCAAUGGCUAAUCUUUGGUUCAUCUUGCUGCUUCACCUCACUGUUGUAUCAGUGACCACAAGCCAGAAUUGUGGAAAUACAAGCAUACGCCUCGA